rnacentral:rRNA from 1 species
AGUGGGGAAUAUUGGACAAUGGGCGCAAGCCUGAUCCAGCCAUGCCGCGUGAGUGAUGAAGGCCUUAGGGUUGUAAAGCUCUUUUGUCCGGGAAGAUAAUGACUGUACCGGAAGAAUAAGCCCCGGCUAACUUCGUGCCAGCAGCCGCGGUAAUACGAAGGGGGCUAGCGUUGUUCGGAAUCACUGGGCGUAAAGCGCACGUAGGCGGACCAUUAAGUCAGGGGUGAAAGCCUGGAGCUCAACUCCAGAACUGCCUUUGAUACUGAUGGUCUCGAGUUCGGAAGAGGUUGGUGGAACUGCGAGUGUAGAGGUGAAAUUCGUAGAUAUUCGCAAGAACACCAGUGGCGAAGGCGGCCAACUGGUCCGAUACUGACGCUGAGGUGCGAAAGCGUGGGGAGCAAA